AUGGUGACCAUGAAGAUGAAGGAGCUAGAGGACGGGGUGCCCGAGGAGUGCGUGCCGCACCUGCCAUGGAUGCGGCACCCGGUCGACAUCGACUCCUUCUCGGGCUGCCCUGUGACGAGCCUCCCCCGCCUAGACCCCAGAUUGGCAGAAGCAUUGCAGCGAAUGGGAAUUGAAUCAUUUUUCCUAGUUCAGGUAUCAACAUGGCUGGAGACAAUUGGUCCUGGUGCUUUUCAGAGGGAUAUCUGUAUUAAUUCCCCAACUGGAUCCGGCAAAACUCUUGCCUAUGCUUUGCCUAUUGUGCAAGCGCUUUCCACUCGGAAAGUAAGGUGCUUGCGUGCUUUGGUUGUGCUACCUACACGGGAUUUAGCAUUGCAGGUCAAAGAGGUUUUUGAUGCUAUUGCUCCUGUGAUGGGCUUGACAGUAGCAUCAGCAAUUGGUCGAUCGUCCAUCGCGGACGAAAUAUCAGAUCUGAUCAAGAAGUCCAAACAGGAGCUUUAUCCAUCUCUUGAUGAUGAAUAUGUUGAAAUGGAACCACAGACUAAAGUUGAUAUAUUGGUGGCAACUCCUGGAAGAUUGAUGGAUCAUAUCAACAUGACAAAAGGUUUUAGUCUGGAGCAUCUUCAAUACUUGGUUGUUGAUGAGACAGAUAGGAUGUAA
rnacentral:rRNA from 1 species